GAUGAACGCUAGCGGCAGGCUUAACACAUGCAAGUCGAGGGGUAUAGGUUUUCGGACCUAGAGACCGGCGCACGGGUGCGUAACGCGUAUGCAAUCUACCUUUCACAGAGGGAUAGCCCAGAGAAAUUUGGAUUAAUACCUCAUAGUAUAGCAGUUUCGCAUGAAACCACUAUUAAAGUAUCAACGGUGAAAGAUGAGCACGCGUCCCAUUAGCUAGAUGGUAAGGUAACGGCUUACCAUGGCUACGAUGGGUAGGGGUCCUGAGAGGGAAAUCCCCCACACUGGUACUGAGACACGGACCAGACUCCUACGGGAGGCAGCAGUGAGGAAUAUCGGUCAAUGGACGCAAGUCUGAACCAGCCAUGCCGCGUGCAGGAUGACGGUCCUAUGGAUUGUAAACUGCUUUUGUACGAGAAGAAACAACAUUACGUGUAAUGUCUUGACGGUAUCGUAAGAAUAAGGAUCGGCUAACUCCGUGCCAGCAGCCGCGGUAAAAC
rnacentral:rRNA from 1 species